UUCAAAUCCCUAUUAUCUCUCCUUAUCCCCUCCCUCCUUCCUUCUCUUCGCCGUCUGAGACAACAAUUGUAGCAGAGUUCGCCGGAAAUUUCUUCGCACUCAGCUCAAUCGUCGGAUUCGUCGCCUGUCUUCGUAAAGCAGGUCACAGUCGUCGCUGUUGUCACCGCUGCGGCCUCUGUCGUCGUCAUCGUCAAAGGUCGCGGUUGUGCCCUCAGCUCCGAUCUGUCGACAUUGUUCGCAGGUCCAAGGUAAUUAAGAAAAUCUUAAGAAAGUAUCUGGAUCAACCAAAAAAAUCUGUUCAAAGGACACACAAAUCUGCAAAAUCAGAAGAGGAGAUGAAGAAAUCUGAGGCCACUGUUCAAUCUGUCUCGAGCAGUUCUCAGCGGGUAACAGAAAUUCAGGGAAGUAAGAGAAUUCUUCCUGCAAAGCCUUCCAUAAACAUUGAAGCUAGUCCUAUGGAACUUGACACAAAAGAGUCAGAUGCUAAUCCAAAAUCCAAAUUCUUCUUUGGCUACUGCAGAGAAAGGAGUUUUGUGGCCUCAACCGUCCUGUAAUUUCCACAGAGAAAUUGAAAAAGUGAUAGACAAGAGUUGAAGGAGUCUGUGCAAGAGCUUGCUGCCCGAGCAGCUAGUUAUGCCAAAGUUGUAGCUGCAAAAUAUAUUGCACCAACAAAUUCAGCAUAUCAAUUCGAGGUUUCUUGGCGUGGACUUUCUUGUGACUGUAAUCUACAAGUUCAAUACUGAAGGUAACUUACCCACAGCAUUACCUCAGAUAUUUAAGAAUACAUUGUCUGCACCUAUGCCUAUGCUUAUGGACAUUGCUCGGUGUAUUGCCACAUUUUUCAUGAAAGAUGAAGAUUUGGCUGUUAGGUACUUGGAAAUCUGCCUAAGGUCCCAAGAUUCAGCAUGAUCAUCAUGUGUCUAUCAUCUUCUGAUAAAGCUGGAAAUGUAGGUAUUCGGAAGCUGGAAUUGAGCUUUUGGGGUUUUUUAAUUAAUUUAAUUUGUCUUAAGAAAGCUUUCC